UGACCCAACAAGUCUGUCAUCGCCUCAUGAUCAAAAGCAGCAUGGCCGACUUUUAAUCUAAUCAGGAGCGGCCGCCAGCAUGCAUGGCAUUUGCCUUGCCUCAUCAAAUGCCUCAUUUCUUUGGCUAUCCCUCGUGCAGGAAAUGAGCUGUCAGUUUCACUUGCAUGGGAGCUUGGCAGCUGCAUUAAAACACAUUGGUUUAUUUGUUUAAAGUUUUUUUUUUUUGCAUUUCUUAAUCUUAAAUUCCUCAUACAGGACAGCCAUUGCCGGACAGACAUUGCGCACUGCUUCUGUACCUCUUUUGGCUGCCUUCUGUCCACCUCCUGGGAAAAAGCCCCCAGUGCCUCCACCAUAUCCACCAUAUCCACCUAAACCAAACAAAGGAGCAAAAGGCUACAAGUACUCACCUCCUCCAAGGCCUCCACCUCCGUGACCACCACCUCCUAGAUUGCCAUAACCUUGAUGAAAACAGGCAGUAGAAAGAAAGAACGAGAGAAAGAAAGAAAGAAAGAAAGAAAGAAGGAAAGAAAGACAGAAAGACAGAGA